GACGAACGCUGGCGGCGUGCUUAACACAUGCAAGUCGAACGAAGUGGCGAACGGGUGAGUAACGCGUAAUCACCCUGCCCUUCAGAGGGGGACAACAGUUUGAAACGACUGCUAAUACCGCAUACUGAAGGAGGGGCUUGCGUCUGUUUAGCUAGUUGGAGGGGUAACGGCCCACCAAGGCGAUGAUCAGUAGGCGGGCUGGUAGGGUGAACGGCCACAUUGGGACUGGGACACGGCCCAAACUCCUACGGGAGGCAGCAGUGGGGAAUCUUCCGCAAGGGACGAAAGUCUGACGGAGCAACGCCGCGUGAGGGAUGACGGCCUUCGGGUUGUAAAGCUCUGUUAAUCGGGACGCGGUACCGGAAUAGAAAGCCACGGCUAACUACGUGCCAGCAGCCGCGGUAAUUC
rnacentral:rRNA from 1 species